rnacentral:rRNA from 1 species
CAAUAGCGUAUAUUAAAGUUGUUGCAGUUAAAAAGCUCGUAGUUGGAUUUCUGGAUGGAGCGACCGGUCGGGCAUUAAUUUGUCUGCACUGGAGUCGGUUCCGUCCAUCCUCUUGGAAAGUGCGUGGGGCAUUAAGUUGUCUGGCGUAUGAUCCAAGUCGUCUACUGUGAAAAAAUUAGAGUGUUUAAAGCAGGCCUUCGCCUUGAAUACAUUAGCAUGGAAUAAUAAGAUAGGACUUUGGUCUAUUUUGUUGGUUUGCAGACCGAAGUAAUGAUUAAUAGGGAUAGUUGGGGGUAUUUAUAUUCCGAUGUCAGAGGUGAAAUUCUUAGAUUUUCGGAAGAUAAACUUAUGCGAAAGCAUUUACCAAGGAUGUUUUCAUUAA